UACGUAGGGUGCAAGCGUUGUCCGGAAUUAUUGGGCGUAAAGGGCUCGUAGGCGGUUUGUCGCGUCGGGAGUGAAAACCAGGUGCUUAACACCUGGCUUGCUUUCGAUACGGGCAGACUAGAGGUAUUCAGGGGAGAACGGAAUUCCUGGUGUAGCGGUGAAAUGCGCAGAUAUCAGGAGGAACACCGGUGGCGAAGGCGGGUCUCUGGGCAGUAACUGACGCUGAGGAGCGAAAGCGUGGGGAGCGAACAGG
rnacentral:rRNA from 1 species